rnacentral:rRNA from 1 species
GUGUCAGCAGCCGCGGUAAUACGUAGGGUGCGAGCGUUGUCCGGAAUUAUUGGGCGUAAAGGGCUCGUAGGCGGUUUGUCGCGUCGGGAGUGAAAACACACAGCUUAACUGUGUGCUGGCUUCCGAUACGGGCAGACUAGAGGUAUGCAGGGGAGAACGGAAUUCCUGGUGUAGCGGUGAAAUGCGCAGAUAUCAGGAGGAACACCGGUGGCGAAGGCGGUUCUCUGGGCAUUACCUGACGCUGAGGAGCGAAAGUGUGGGGAGCGAACAGGAUUAGAUACCCCCGUAGUCC